rnacentral:antisense_RNA from 1 species
GCUUUCUCCCGGUGGCGACCGGGGGAUAAGCAGAGAACUCGUCAGGCUGCAACCUGGCGGGUUUUCGCAUUUUAUGAAG